rnacentral:lncRNA from 1 species
UCAGAGUUAAAAUAGUACAUCCAGCCAAAUCCAAGCAACAUCAAAUUAUUAUUACAAACCAACGACAGUAAAGUAGCAUAAGAGUGAAAGGGAAGAAAAGACCGUAAACUCAUGGGUUGCCUCCCAUGAAGCGCUUCUUUCUCGUCAUUAGCUUGACGCUUCAUCCUCACAAGUUAGGGAGGAUACUUCAAAGUUGACUCAACCCGGCUCCUCUUGUUCUCUUCAUUCAAAGGAGCAAUAUUAAUAUCAAUAGGUAAUGAUUUCACACUUCCCGAAUCACUCUUGAGAUCUUCCCCUUUGGUCUUCAAAUUGGUUCUUUCCUUCNNNNGCUUUUCUUCACCGAAGCAUUCAAUGUUGAAGUGGAAGACUUUUGAGGAUUGACAACCGGAUUGGGCUCUUCUUCUUUGGCCACCUUGUGCAAACAAUAUAUAGGAACCACACCAUCCAAGCCCCAUCCUAGGUCGUCAUUCACUUUCUCCGCUUCUUUUAACAAGUCAUUCUCUUCUAGUGGAGUGAGC